UUGAAUUUGGGUUUUUAACUUAGAUUUGGGUGGCGGACGGGUGAGUAACGCGUAAAGAACUUGCCUCACAGCUAGGGACAACAUUUAGAAAUGAAUGCUAAUACCUGAUAUUAUGAUUUUAAGGCAUCUUAGAAUUAUGAAAGCUAUAUGCACUGUGAGAGAGCUUUGCGUCCCAUUAGCUAGUUGGAGAGGUAACAGCUCACCAAGGCGAUGAUGGGUAGCCGGCCUGAGAGGGUGAACGGCCACAAGGGGACUGAGACACGGCCCUUACUCCUACGGGAGGCAGCAGUGGGGAAUAUUGGACAAUGGACCGAGAGUCUGAUCCAGCAAUUCUGUGUGCACGAUGAAGUUUUUCGGAAUGUAAAGUGCUUUCAGUUGGGAAGAAAUAAAUGACGGUACCAACAGAAGAAGUGACGGCUAAAUACGUGCCAGCAGCCGCGGUAAUACGUAUGUCACGAGCGUUAUCCGGAUUUAUUGGGCGUAAAGCGCGUCUAGGUGGUUAUGUAAGUCUGAUGUGAAAAUGCAGGGCUCAACUCUGUAUUGCGUUGGAAACUGUAUAACUAGAGUACUGGAGAGGUAAGCGGAACUACAAGUGUAGAGGUGAAAUUCGUAGAUAUUUGUAGGAAUGCCGAUGGGGAAGCCAGCUUACUGGACAGAUACUGACGCUAAAGCGCGAAAGCGUGGGUAGCAAACAGGAUUAGAUACCCUGGUAGUCCACGCUGU
rnacentral:rRNA from 2 species